rnacentral:rRNA from 1 species
AUACGGAGGAUCCGAGCGUUAUCCGGAUUUAUUGGGUUUAAAGGGUGCGCAGGCGGCCAUUUAAGUCAGCGGUUAAAUCGUGGGGCUCAACCCCAUUCUGCCGUUGAUACUGGGUGGCUUGAUUGCGGUCGAGGUUGGCGGAAUUCGUUGUGUAGCGGCGAAAUGCAUAGAUAUGACGAAGAACACCGAUUGCGUAGGCAGCUGACCAGACCGCAAAUGACGCUCAUGCACGAAAGUGCGGGGAUCGAACAGGAUUAGAUACCCUGGUAGUCCGCACAGUAAACGAUGAAUACUUGUUUUCGGCGAUAUAAUGUCGGAGGCAAAGCGAAAGCGAUAAGUAUUCCACCUGGGGAGUACGCCGGCAACGGUGAUACUCAAAGGAAUUGACGGGG